rnacentral:lncRNA from 1 species
CUGAUUCGAAUAAAAGAUGUGGAUAUUGGUUUCUCAUCUGGCUCUCGACUUCCCACCUCAUCUCCUCCAUUCGAGCAUUCUUCCACAACACUUUCACCAUUGGAAUGCUCUUGUUCCUUAGCACUCGAUCCUUUCGAUCUAGAAUACGUACAGGCUUCACCUCGAACUUCAAAUCCUCAUGCAACUCAAUGGGAGGUGUCUCUAAACUGUGAGAGGGAUCGGGAACAUACUUUUUCAACAUCGAGACGUGGAAGACAUUAUGAAUCCGAUCUAACUCUGGGGGUAAUUCAAGUCUGUAAGCCACUGGCCCAAUCCUUUC